UACAGAGACCUCAAGCGUUAUCCGGAUUUACUGGGCGUAAAGCGUGCGCAGCCGGUUAUAUUAGUCUGGCGUUAAAUCGUGAGGCUUAACUUCACAUGUGCGUCGGAAACGGUAUGGCUAGAGUGGGUAAGAGGUACGCGGAACGUGCAGUGUAGGGGUGAAAUCCAUUGAUAUUGCACGGAACACCAAAAGCGAAGGCAGCGUACUAGUGCUCUACUGACGGUCAAUCACGAAAGCGUGGGGAUCAAAAAGG
rnacentral:rRNA from 1 species